rnacentral:rRNA from 1 species
AAGACCUUGCGCUUUUGGAGCGGCCGAUGUCUGAUUAGCUAGUUGGUGGGGUAAUGGCCUACCAAAGCUUCGAUCAGUAGCUGGUCUGAGAGGACGGCCAGCCACACUGGGGCUGAGACACGGCCCAGACUCCUACGGGAGGCAGCAGUGGGGAAUUUUGGACAAUGGGCGCAAGCCUGAUCCAGCCAUGCCGCGUGAGUGAAGAAGGCCUUCGGGUUGUAAAGCUCUUUCAGCCGGGAAGAAAAGGCUGCGACUAAUAAUCGCAGUUCAUGACGGUACCGGAAGAAGAAGCACCGGCUAACUACGUGCCAGCAGCCGCGGUAAUACGUAGGGUGCGAGCGUUAAUCGGAAUUACUGGGCGUAAAGGGUGCGCAGGCGGUUUUGUAAGUCAGAUGUGAAAUCCCCGGGCUUAACCUGGGAACU